rnacentral:tRNA from 1 species
CGGGGUGUGGCGCAGCCUGGUAGCGCGCACCGUUCGGGACGGUGAGGUCGUGGGUUCAAAUCCCGCCACCCCGACCA